AGCAGCCGCGGUAAUUCCAGCUCCAAUAGCGUAUAUUAAAGUUGCUGCAGUUAAAAAGCUCAUAGUUGAAUUCCGGGACUAAUAUGUCGGUCGUGCCUCGGUACGUACUGGCUUAUUGGUUUCUCCUCUCUGAAGAACCAUGAUGUCAUUUAUUUGGUGUCGUGGGGAAUCAGGACUGUUACUUUGAAAAAAUUAGAGUGUUUAAAGCAGGCUCACGCUUGAAUACAUUAGCAUGGAAUAAUGAAAUAGGACGUUUGAUUCUAUUUUGUUGGUUUCUAGGAUCGACGUAAUGAUUAAUAGGGAUAGUUGGGGGCAUUAGUAUUCAAUUGUCAGAGGUGAAAUUCUUGGAUUUAUUGAAGACUAACUACUGCGAAAGCAUUUGCCAAGGAUGUUUUCAUUAAUCAAGAACGAAAGUUAGGGGAUCGAAGACGAUCAGAUACCGUCGUAGUCUUAACCAUAAACUAUGCCGACUAGGGAUCGGAUGAUGUUAAUUUUUUAAUGACUCAUUCGGCGCCUUACG
rnacentral:misc_RNA from 1 species